rnacentral:rRNA from 1 species
AGUGAACGCUGGCGGUAGGCCUAACACAUGCAAGUCGAACGGCAGCACAGUAAGAGCUUGCUCUUACGGGUGGCGAGUGGCGGACGGGUGAGGAAUACAUCGGAAUCUACUUUUUCGUGGGGGAUAACGUAGGGAAACUUACGCUAAUACCUCAUACGACCUACGGGUGAAAGCAGGGGAUCUUCGGACCUUGCGCGAUUGAAUUAGCCGAUGUCGGAUUACCUAGUUGGCGGGGUAAAGGCCCACCAAGGCGACGAUCCGUAGCUGGUCUGAGAGGAUGAUCAGCCACACUGGAACUGAGACACGGUCCAGACUCCUACGGGAGGCAGCAGUGGGGAAUAUUGGACAAUGGGCGCAAGCCUGAGCCAGCCAUACCGCGUGGGUGAAGAAGGCCUUCGGGUUGUAAAGCCCUUUUGUUGGGAAAGAAAAGCAGCAGGUUAAUACCCCGCUGUUCUGACGGUACCCAAAGAAUAAGCACCGGCUAACUUCGU